GGGGCGCGGCGAGGAGUACUGUCCAUCUGCCUGAGCGCCGUGGCCACGGCCACGGGGGCCGAGGGCAAAAGGAAGCUGCAGAUCGGGGUCAAGAAGCGGGUGGACCACUGUCCCAUCAAAUCGCGCAAAGGGGAUGUCCUGCACAUGCACUACACGGGGAAGCUGGAAGAUGGGACAGAGUUUGACAGCAGCCUGCCCCAGAACCAGCCCUUUGUCUUCUCCCUUGGCACAGGCCAGGUCAUCAAGGGCUGGGACCAGGGGCUGCUGGGGAUGUGUGAGGGGGAAAAGCGCAAGCUGGUGAUCCCAUCCGAGCUAGGGUAUGGAGAGCGGGGAGCUCCCCCAAAGAUUCCAGGUGGUGCAACCCUGGUGUUCGAGGUGGAGCUGCUCAAAAUAGAGCGACGAACUGAGCUGUAACCAGACUGGGGAGGGGCAGGGGGAGAGGCCCCCAUCAGGGACCAGACUGUUC
rnacentral:lncRNA from 1 species